rnacentral:rRNA from 1 species
CCUACGGGGGGCAGCAGUGAGGAAUAUUGGUCAAUGGCCGGAAGGCUGAACCAGCCAUGCCGCGUGAAGGUCAGUGCCCUAUGGGCGUUAAACUUCUUUUGUGCGGGAGCAAUAAUGGUCACGUGUGGCCAGACGAGAGUACCGUACGAAUAAGCAUCGGCUAACUCCGUGCCAGCAGCCGCGGUAAUACGGGGGAUGCAAGCGUUAUCCGGAUUUAUUGGGUUUAAAGGGUGCGUAGGCUGUGAGGUAAGUCAGCGGUGAAAUGCCCCCGCUCAACGGGGUGAAGUGCCAUUGAUACUGCCUGGCUGGAAUGCGGAUGACGUGGGAGGAAUGUGUGGUGUAGCGGUGAAAUGCAUAGAUAUCGCACAGAACACCGAUUGCGAAGGCAUCUCACGAAUCCGAGAUUGACGCUGAUGCACGAAAGCGUGGGUAUCAAACAGGAUUAGAUACCCUAGUAGUC